ACGGAGGGUGCAAGCGUUAUCCGGAUUCACUGGGUUUAAAGGGUGCGUAGGUGGGUUGGUAAGUCAGUGGUGAAAUCUCCGAGCUUAACUUGGAAACUGCCAUUGAUACUAUCAGUCUUGAAUAUUGUGGAGGUUAGCGGAAUAUGUCAUGUAGCGGUGAAAUGCUUAGAUAUGACAUAGAACACCAAUUGCGAAGGCAGCUGGCUACGCAUAUAUUGACACUGAGGCACGAAAGCGUGGGGAUCAAACAGGAUUAGAUACCCUGGUAGUCCACGCCCUAAACUAUGGAUACUCGACAUAUGCGAUACACUGUAUGUGUCUGAGCGAAAGCAUUAAGUAUCCCACCUGGGAAGUACGAUCGCAAGAUU
rnacentral:rRNA from 1 species